AACGAACGCUGGCGGCAGGCUUAACACAUGCAAGUCGAACGGGUGUAGCAAUACAUCAGUGGCAGACGGGUGAGUAACACGUGGGAACCUUCCUAGGGGUACGGAACAACUCAGGGAAACUUGAGCUAAUACCGUAUACGUCCGUAAGGAGAAAGAUUCAUCGCCCCUAGACGGGCCCGCGUCGGAUUAGGUAGUUGGUGGGGUAACGGCCUACCAAGCCUACGAUCCGUAGCUGAUCUGAGAGGAUGAUCAGCCACACUGGGACUGAGACACGGCCCAGACUCCUACGGGAGGCAGCAGUGGGGAAUCUUGGACAAGUGGGCGCAAGCCUGAUCCAGCCAUGCCGCGUGAGUGAAGAAGGCCUUAGGGUUGUAAAGCUCUGUCGGGGAACGAAUGUUUUCGGGUAACAGCCCCGGGAAGUGACGGUACCCUNAAAGGAAGCACCGGCUAACUCUGUGCCA
rnacentral:rRNA from 1 species